GACGAACGCUGGCGGCGUGCUUAACACAUGCAAGUCGAACGGAAAGGCCCUGCUUUUGUGGGGUGCUCGAGUGGCGAACGGGUGAGUAACACGUGAGUAACCUGCCCUUUACUUUGGGAUAACUUCAGGAAACUGUGUCUAAUACCGGAUAGGAGCUCCUGCUGCAUGGUGGGGGUUGGAAAGUUUCGGCGGUUGGGGAUGGACUCGCGGCUUAUCAGCUUUUUUGUGGGGUAGUGGCUUACCAAGGCUUUGACGGGUAGCCGGCAUGUGAGGGUUACCGGCGAGAUUGGGACUGAGAUACGGACCAGACUCCUACGGGAGGCAGCAGUGGGGAAUAUUGCACAAUGGGCGGAAGCCUGAUGAAGCAACGCCGCGUGCGGGAUGACGGCCUUCGGGUUGUAAACCGAUUGCGCCUGUGACGAAGCGUGAGUGACGGUAAUGGGUAAAGAAGCACCGGCUAACUACGUG
rnacentral:rRNA from 1 species